GUACAGGCCCCAGCCAUACAGGACCAACUACACAGAGUACAGCCCCAGCCAUACAGGACCAACUACACAGAGUACAGCCCCCAGCCAUACAGGACCAACUACACAGAGUACAGCCCCCAGCCAUACAGGUAGGCGAUUUAGACCCCAUACAGGUAGGAUAUAUAGACCCCAUACAGGUAGGUUAUAUAGACCCCAUACAGGUAGGAGAUAUAGACCCCAUACAGGUAGGAGAUAUAGACCCCAUACAGGUAGGAGAUAUAGACCCCAUACAGGUAGGAUAUAUAGACCCCAUACAGGUAGGAGAUAUAGACCCCAUACAGGUAGGAGAUAUAGA